AGCAGCAUGGCGCAGUGGUAGCGCGCGGGCCAUAUGAGUAGCGAUUUUCUUGUUCUUUGCACCCCGAGGUCACUUGAUCGAAACAAGUUGCUGCUA